rnacentral:lncRNA from 1 species
AACGAUAAAAUGAAAGAAGUAAAAAAUAAAAAGAAACUAUUUUUUUUUGAGGAAGAUAAAAAAACUAAAAAGUCAAAGAGAACAAAAUGGUGAAGAGGGGAAGAAUAUGCAACUCUUUUUUUUAGGAUUUUCUAUUCUCCAAAAAUAAAAAAUAAAAUAGCUAAAAUAAAGAAAUAUUUUAGCAACUUAAAAAAAUCUAAAAUAAAAUUACUCCCUCAAACAUACACGAAGAUUCGAACUCAGAACCUAAAGG